rnacentral:rRNA from 1 species
AUGGAAGCCUGGACUCAUGAAAUCGGGCUCACUGAAGAUUUUGAGAAGCUCAAAUUUGAGAUGAGGAACGUGGAGAUGGUGCUUGCCGCUGCUGAGGGAAGGAUUAUUGGUGACAAUAAGCCUCUGUCCCAGUCACUGGAUGAUCUCAAAGGGCUGCUUUAUGACUCAGAGGACGUGAUGGACGAGCUCGAUUACUACCGACUACAACAACAGAUCGAAGGGAAAGGUUGUACUGCUGCCAGUGAUGAUAAUUCUGAUGGGAGCUAUGUGUCCUCAUCUACCCUAUCUUCUGCUUCUGAAUUAGUAUACAGUGCCACAAGCCAAAUAACUAGAUGGGCCUCAUGCGGCAGAAAAAGGAGACGCGAAGAGGAGGGGCCAACUCAUAGUAUCAUGCUAACUUAUGAGAUUAAACAUGACAUUUCUCAGAGAAUCAACGGUAUAGUGAAUGAUUUAUGCACUAUUGGCAAUUCUGUGCAGAGAUUUCUUCAGCUUGAGAUCUCACGCCCCACCGGAACAUCAAGUGAGAGUCAGAAUAUUCGCAGGAAUGCUCGAUUGACAACUUCUGCUCCAAUUGAAGGUAAGGUGUAUGAGAGGGAUGCAGAGAGAGACAAGAUAAUAGGGCUGUUGAUGAAUGGGGGAUCUAGUGAUCUGAAUGUUUUGCCAGUGGUUGGCAUUGGUGGUGUUGGGAAGACGACUCUUGCUAGAUAUGUAUACCGUGAUGAAAGAAUUAUAAAUCAUUUCGAUUUGCAAAUGUGGGUUUGUGUAUCCACAAACUUCAAUGAACUGAGGCUAACACUUGAGAUCCUAGAGCAUGUAUGUAAAGAUAGACAAGAGUAUGAAAAAAUAAGCAAUUUCAAUGUACUGCAGGAGAUCCUUUUGAAGAAUGUUAGAAACAAAAGAUUUCUACUUGUAUUGGACGAUGUGUGGGAAGACAAGAACAUGAGUGGAUGGAUUAAACUCUUGGCUCCAUUGAAAAAUAAUCGAGUAAAUGGUUGCAUGGUACUAGCAACAACUAGAAUGAAAUCAGUUGCAAGAAUGAUUGGAACAAUGGAUGAAGUUAGAUUGAGUGGUCUAGAUGAAAAGGAGUUUUGGCUGUUCUUCAAGGCAUGUGCAUCUCGUAAUGAGAACUACGAGGGUCAUCCUAGUUUGCAAUCUAUUGGGAAACAGAUUGCUAAAGUACUAAAGGGCUGUCCACUAGCUGCACGAAGUGUUGGUGCACUUCUGAAUACAAAUGUUAGCGAUAAACAUUGGAGGAUAGUUCGGGACAAAUGGAAAUCCUUUCAAGAAGAUUCUGAUGAUAUUUUACCCAUCUUGAAGCUCAGUUAUGAUUAUCUGCCAGUCCACCUUCAACGUUGUUUCUCGUACUGCUCUUUGUUUCCAGUGGACUACCCAUUUAAUGUGGAGCAAUUGGUCCAUGCUUGGAUAUCACAGGAUUUUGUGCAGUGCGAAGAUCGUACCGUAAGACUAGAGGAAACAGGGCAGGAAUAUUUGGAUAGAUUAGUGGAUUUGGGCUUCUUCCAAAUGGUUAGCUCACACUAUGUUAUGCACGAUUUAAUGCAUGAAUUGGCAGGGAAGGUUUCGUUAAAUGAGUGUGCUACUAUACAUGGAUUGAAACCUGAGGCAAUUCGACCAAGUGUUCGGCAUUUGUCGAUCAUAAUUACUGCUUUUGAUACAGAUAACCAUGCCAGCUUUCCUAACGAGAGGUUUGACGAAAUACUUCAGAAGGUUCAGCCUUUGCAAAAAUUGAGGACCUUGAUGUUGUUUGGGCGAAGCAGCAUAAAUUUAUUAGGGUCCUUACGUAAUUUAUUGAAGGAAGCAAAAUGUUUACGGUUUCUAAGAAUUUUCGUGACAGGCGCUGACAUCAGCUCUAUAAACAGGCUGUUAAAUCCAUGCCAUCUUCGCUAUCUUGAAUAUGUUUGUGUUGUCACCACAACCAUGUCGCUGUUUCCUCAAGCAUUGACAAGAUUUUAUCACCUUCAAGUAUUGAAUGUGGGUAUUUCAGGCAAUCUUGCUGUGCCUACUGACAUGCAUAAGCUUGUUAAUUUGCGCCAUCUUAUUUCUCAUGAGAAAGUGCAUCAUGCAACAGCUUGUGUUGGCAACAUGACCUCUCUUCAGAAACUAAGAUUCAAGGUUCAAAAUGUUGGCAGUUUUGAGAUAAGGCAGCUUCAGUCGAUGAAUGAGCUUGUACUACUUGAAAUUUCUCAACUUCAAAUUGUGAAGACUAAAGAAGAGGCUUGUGGGGCCAGGCUAUUAGACAAAGAGUAUCUAGAAAAGUUGUCCUUGUCAUGGGAGGAUAGCAGCAUGAGCCUUGAACCUGUAAUGGCAGAAGAUGUGCUUGAAGGUCUUCAACCACAUCCGAACCUCAAAACUCUAGAAAUAACUGGAUACAGUGGUGCUAUCCCUCCAACCUGGCUUUCCAGUACUUUCUCAGUUACCUCAUUGCAGAUACUUCAUCUAAGGAAUUGCAAAGAAUGGCGAAUUCUUCCAACUCUUGAAAUGCUUCCUUUCCUUAGGAAGCUGACAUUGAUCAGGAUGUUGAAUUUAAUGGAAAUCUCAGUUCCUUCCUUGGAAGAGUUGAUCUUGAUCAAUAUGCCAAAAUUGGAAAAAUGUAUUGGUUCCUACGGAAUGGAGUUGACUUCCCAUCUAAGAGUUUUGAUGAUCAUGAAAUGCCCUCAACUGAAUGAUAUCACUCUUUUCCAGAAUUACCCUUCUUUCGACGCUGAGCAGAAGUCAUGGUUCCCAUCUCUCAGCAAACUCUACAUCAAGAAAUGUCCUCAUAUAAUCAAUUGGGCAAACCUUCCCCUAAGAGAAAUGGGGGCGCUCAAGGAGUUGGUGGACCUACAUGUUGUCAAAGAAUUGUCAGUUCCUUCCCUGGAGAAGUUGGUGUUGACUAAAAUGCCAAGCCUAGAAUUCUGCAGCAGUCUAACAACUUCUCCACCUCUGCAAUUUUUACCUUCCCAAGGAGAUAAAGAAAAUUGGACAUCUAAUCUCCAUAGACUCACCAUCCAUGAUUGCCCUUGUUUGAUAGUGUCACAUCCUCUUCCGCCUUCUGCUCUGAUUUCUGAGUUGUCCGUCAGGGGAGUUCCUAAACUUCCAACAAUGAGUAUAAGCCAAAGACAGUUGAUUAUCGAAUCUAAUGAGUUGAGUGUGCUGGAUGAGAGUAUCUUGGCAUUCGAUAACCUUAGGGGCAUAACAUUGUUUGAAAUAAGAAACUGUCCAAAUCUGAUCUCCAUUUCAAGUGAAGCUUUCAACCAGCUCAUCGCUUUAGAGGAUUUAUGUAUAUACGACUGCCCUAAUCUGAGCAUGGCAAACAUUAUGUAA